CCCACCUAACCACCUCAAGAAGCUCCAGUCACACCCACCAAUAGCUUUCAUCACCACAACCCUAUUUCAUCAUAUCUAUUAAUGGUGCUCUGAAAAUCUUAAAUCAUCCCUGAAAUUGAAAGCAAAAUCUGUGACAUUCACCAUCACAGUCCACCUCGAAGGUAACCUUUCAUCUAAUACAAAAUAGCUCGCUAAAUACAAAUCGUCCAUCAACUAGUUACCAGCUUCUUCAAUAGUACCAUUCUAGCUGACUACCACAACCACACUACUCCACUGUCAGUAUCAAUAACCAACAUCGACUACUUCCACUAUCGUAGAGCCACCAUAGUUUGUUCGUUAAAACCUAUAGCUACACACACUUUGACCUCCGACCUCAUCGCUACAGAAUUCACAAAUUAUUUUUUAGGUCCUUCUUAGCCUAAAUUUCCCAUUCUAAUUUUCUUAUGUUGGGCCAUGAUUUGGGCCCUCUUUUUAUCAUAGAUAGUAAUUUGAAUAUUUUGUAUUUUAUUAUUUUUACUUACAAAAGAGUUUGAUUUGAUUACUUUAAAAAAUAAAAAAAGUGAGAGAAAGAAAAGUGAAACAAAAAGAAGAAAUUUUCCAACAUUACUUGUAGGCACUCUUUUUAUUCUUGUUGAGUGACGGCCGCUCAGAUGAUUCAAUUGUUGCCUUGCCGCCGUAGUCCUACCAACUACAAAAUCGUGAUUUUUUUUUU
rnacentral:lncRNA from 1 species